rnacentral:sRNA from 1 species
ACAAAAGCUAUGGUAUAAUUUACGAAACACCACAAAACUAUCCAAAGAUAUGAAAUGUUUUGUGGUGUUUCGUAAAUUAUACCAUAGCUUUUGU